UACGUAGGGACCAAGCGUUGUUCGGAUUUACUGGGCGUAAAGGGCGCGUAGGCGGCAAUUCAAGUCAUCUGUGAAAUCUCCGGGCUUAACCCGGAACGGUCAGGUGAUACUGUUUUGCUAGAGUGCGGAAGGGGCAAUCGGAAUUCUCGGUGUAGCGGUGAAAUGCGUAGAUAUCGAGAGGAACACCAGAGGUGAAGACGGGUUGCUGGGCCGACACUGACGCUGAGAGACGAAAGCUAGGGGAGCGAAUGGG
rnacentral:rRNA from 1 species